UACGUAGGGUCCGAGCGUUGUCCGGAAUUACUGGGCGUAAAGAGCUCGUAGGUGGUUUGUCGCGUUGUUCGUGAAAACUCACAGCUUAACUGUGGGCGUGCGGGCGAUACGGGCAGACUUGAGUACUGCAGGGGAGACUGGAAUUCCUGGUGUAGCGGUGGAAUGCGCAGAUAUCAGGAGGAACACCGGUGGCGAAGGCGGGUCUCUGGGCAGUAACUGACACUGAGGCGCGAAAGCGUGGGGAGCAAACAGG
rnacentral:rRNA from 1 species